rnacentral:snoRNA from 1 species
CCCCUCUCAGGGUUGCAUCUGGAGACUUUCCAGAACUCUACCAGUCUCGACUGCAGGAGGGAGAGUCAAGCAGAGGCCUAUCCAUUCCAAUCUUAGCUUGGCCGGUGGCUAGCGAGUGGAAGGCAAUCUGCCACAAGU